UGUUUUGUUUUGUCUUUUUUUUUUGUUUUUCUCUGUGACUGCGGAAGAAUCAUUAAGCGGAGUGAGGGCCUCCGGGUCCAACUUCCCACCGGUGUCUAUCGUACCUUGUUGCUUCGGCGGGCCCGCCGUUUCGACGGCGGCCGGGGAGGCUUGGCGCCCCCGGGCCGGCGCCGGCCGGAAGACCCCAACAAUGAACGCUGUUCCUGAAAGUAUGCCAAGUCUGGAGUUGAUUAUCAUAAUCAGUUAAAACUUUUAACAACGGGAUCUCUUUGUUUCCGGCAUCGAUGAAGAACGCAGCGAAAUGCGAUAAGUAAUGUGAAUUGCAGAAUUCAGUGAAUCAUCGAGUCUUUGAACGCACAUUGCGCCCCCUGGUAUUCCGGGGGGCAUGCCUGUCCGAGCGUCAUUGCUGCCCUCAAGCACGGCUUGUGUGUUGGGCCCCGUCCCCUCCCCCCGGGGACGGGCCCGAAAGGCAGCGGCGGCACCGCGUCCGGUCCUCGAGCGUAUGGGGCUUUGUCACCCGCUCUGUAGGCCCGGCCGGCGCCAGCCGACACCCAACUUUAAUUUCUAAGUUGACCUCGAUCAGGUAGGAUACCCGUUAACUUAACUAUCAUACGGAGAAAAAAAAAA
rnacentral:misc_RNA from 1 species